rnacentral:rRNA from 1 species
UGAUGGCGACCGGCGCACGGGUGAGUAACACGUAUCCAACCUGCCGAUAACUCGGGGAUAGCCUUUCGAAAGAAAGAUUAAUACCCGAUGGUAUAAUCAGACCGCAUGGUCUUGUUAUUAAAGAAUUUCGGUUAUCGAUGGGGAUGCGUUCCAUUAGGCAGUUGGUGAGGUAACGGCUCACCAAACCUUCGAUGGAUAGGGGUUCUGAGAGGAAGGUCCCCCACAUUGGAACUGAGACACGGUCCAA